GAUGAACGCUGGCGGCGUGCCUAAUACAUGCAAGUCGAGCGAACAGAUAAGGAGCUUGCUCCUUUGACGUUAGCGGCGGACGGGUGAGUAACACGUGGGUAACCUACCUAUAAGACUGGAAUAACUCCGGGAAACCGGGGCUAAUGCCGGAUAAUAUUUAGAACCGCAUGGUUCUAAAGUGAAAGAUGGUUUUACUAUCACUUAUAGAUGGACCCGCGCCGUAUUAGCUAGUUGGUGGGGUAAUGGCUUACCAAGGCAACGAUACGUAGCCGACCUGAGAGGGUGAUCGGCCACACUGGAACUGAGACACGGUCCAGACUCCUACGGGAGGCAGCAGUAGGGAAUCUUCCGCAAUGGGCGAAAGCCUGACGGAGCAACGCCGCGUGGGUGAUGAAGGUCUUCGGAUCGUAAAACUCUGUUAUUAGGGAAGAACAAAUGUGUAAGUAACUGUGCACGUCUUGACGGUACCUAAUCAGAAAGCCACGGCUAACUACGUGCCAGCAGCCGCGGUAAUACGUAGGUGG
rnacentral:rRNA from 1 species